rnacentral:rRNA from 1 species
UGCGUAGGUGGCGGGGUAAGUCUGGUGUGAAAUCUCCGAGCUCAACUCGGAAAAGCAUUGGAAACUAUCUCGCUGGAGGGUCGGAGGGGAGACUGGAAUUCUCGGUGUAGCAGUGAAAUGCGUAGAUAUCGAGAGGAACACCAGUGGCGAAGGCGAGUCUCUGGACGACUCCUGACACUGAGGCACGAAAGCUAGGGAGCAAACA